rnacentral:rRNA from 1 species
CAGCAGCCACGGUAAUACGGAGGGUGCAAGCGUUAAUCGGAAUUACUGGGCGUAAAGCGUGCGUAGGCGGUUCGUUAAGUCUGUUGUGAAAGCCCCGGGCUCAACCUGGGAAUGGCAAUGGAUACUGGCGAGCUAGAGUGUGUCAGAGGAUGGUGGAAUUCCCGGUGUAGCGGUGAAAUGCGUAGAGAUUGGGAGGAACACCAGUGGCGAAGGCGGCCAUCUGGGACAACACUGACGCUGAGGCACGAAAGCGUGGGGAGCAAACAGGAUUAGAUACCCCCGUAGUCCCUGUCUCUUAUAC